CUUCGAUUGUGGUUGAUAAAGUCAUUACGAAAGGAAGCAUGAGUUGUUAUUCUCUUGAUUUGCCUUGUGUAAAAUUCUCGAAUUGGUGCAAAUCUGUUUUGGUGAAUAAGGUAACGAAAUUUACCAAAUUUGUUUUCAAUUUAUAUUCGUGCCUUAAACAGUUUAUGUGGUUGUACAUGAAGUUUGAGUUCCAUUUGACAAAGGUUAACUCAACAACGGAGCUUCGACUACACUAUGCCCCCGAUGAGCGAAGGUUUAUAUUAAAUGGAAAAGGUAAAAUCGACCCUUAUUCUUCUGCU
rnacentral:lncRNA from 1 species